rnacentral:rRNA from 1 species
UAAAAUUUAUGGUCAAGCUAUUAAGGGCAUAUAGUGAAUGCCUUGGCGAAACCUGGCGAUGAAGGGCGUGGCAAGCUGCGAAAAGCC